CUCCUUGGCAUAAGGUUUAGAGGAAGUACUAGUCAUGCGGGCAUUGAUGUUAAGAUUAUUGUUCCUCGACAUCAUUUGAUCAGGGGAGGAAGAACGGCCUACUCCUGAAUCAGGAUCGAAAUCGGAAUCCACAAAUCGAUUAGUAAAGUCUGUGUGGGGAGUCAAAUCGCUAUCGUCCACAAAUCUCCCCGGGUCAGAAGGUGGAAGAUCGCUUGUUUUGCUGUAUCGACUCGAUCGCGAUGCGGGACGUCGAACGUCCAAACGUUGAGCAGUACGAGUUGAG